rnacentral:lncRNA from 1 species
UCACCCUAGGAGAGGAAAUGUAGUUGUCGAUGCCCUAAGCUGAAAGGAGCUUGUAGUGCUAGCUCAAACCAUGACCUCAAGUUGGAAAAUGAUAGACAUUAUACAAUCGCUUUGCCUUAACUACUACGGCAAGAGCACCUAUCUUGCUCAGAUCUAAGCCAUAUCGGAUCUCUUUAUGAAGAUCUGGGAAGCACAGGCCACGGACCCAGAACUCACCAAGAAUCUAAGUAAGUUCACUUCUGACGAAGCACCUAAGUUCAGGAUCUCUGAUGAUGGAUUGUUU